ensembl:snRNA U6 U6 spliceosomal RNA
GUACUUGCUUUGGAAACACAUAUACUAAAUUUGAAAUGAUACAGAGAAGAUUAGGAUGGUCCCUGUGCAAGGAUGACAUGCAAAUGUGUGAAGGGUUCCAUAUUUUU